rnacentral:rRNA from 1 species
UCGAUUAGCUAGUUGGUGGGGGUAAUGGCCUACCAAGGCUGUGAUCGAUAGCUGGUCUGAGAGGAUGAUCAGUCACACGGGAACUGAGACACGGUCCCCGACUCCUACGGGGGGCAGCAGUGAGGAAUAUUGCACAAUGGGGGAAACCCUGAUGCAGCAACGCCGCGUGGAGGAUGACAGCCCUUGGGUUGUAAACUCCUUUUCUGUGGGACGAGAGAGGACGGUACCACAGGAAUAAGUCACGGCUAACUACGUGCCAGCAGCCGCGGGUAAUACGUAGGUGGCGAGCGUUAUCCGGAAUUACUGGGCGUAAAGCGUACGCAGGCGGCUUGUUUAGUCUGACGUGAAAUCUCCCGGCUUAACUGGGAGAGGUCGUUGGAAACUGACAAGCUUGAGGCAAUGAGAGGGGGCAUGGAAUUCCCGGUGUAGUGGUGGAAUGCGUAGAUAUCGGGAGGAACGACCAGAGGCGAAAGCGAUGCCCUGGCAUUGACCUGACGCUCAUGUACGAAAGCGUGGGGAGACG